rnacentral:misc_RNA from 1 species
UUUAGUUUAGACAGGGUAGUUGUGUUAUUUGUGGGUAUUGCUCGUUUCAAUAACUUAGUAAAAUAAUAUUGAAGUGAUGGUUGAAUACUAUUGGUUUGGUGUCAUAUUUAAAUUCAUUUAUUCAUAUUAUUUGGAUUACUAAACGGCAUAAUUCCAAAUGUCUAGAUGAAAUAUGCUGUUGCGUUGCUGCUCAUGUAGUUUUGUGUCUAAACGAACUUAAAUGGGCCCAUGAAUGGAAGGAAAUAAAGAGACUUAUAUGUAUAUAUUUUCCAGGUAAAAAUGCAGACUGGAAUUUAUAAACAGAAAAAUACCGGCAGUCACUCGGACAUUAAUCCAACCUUCUCACCUGGCAAUGAAUUGGUGGCAUUUAAUAGUGAAAAAAUCAAUUACCUUUGUGAAGGUGUUGAUCUUAUAUUAAAAGAUCGACAUAAAUGGCACGGAGAUCGAGGCGAUUGGGAUGUGCAAAAUGGAAACCAGGUGAAAUGGUCACGUAACAAUAUCACUGCGACAAUGGAAAGAUUUGAACCUAUAGGUGAUCCUCUUCCACCUCCACCUUCAUCUACAUUUUUAGAUUAUGGACUUGCUGCCACCGUAGUGGCCGCGAUUAAAAAAGAAACUGAUGAUGUGCAAAUUGUAAAUCCUUUCAAUGGAACAUCUAAAGAUUUUGAGUCCCUGGGCGCAGUUGGAUCAGUAGAUCACGUUUAUUCGUACGCUUAUUAUGAGCCUCGGGUAAUGAAAUGUAAUUCAAAUAUUUCUCAAAAAGAUAUAAUAGAAAAAUGUAAGAAUGAACACAUCAGUUCCCGACAAAAUGAAUCAAAGGGGUUUCGUUUUAAAGCAAGUUGUGAGCAGAAAGCAUAUUUGUGCUUGGAAGAUCAUCAUAGUUAUACAACUCAUUAUGGAACAACGGAAAAUUUGUAUGAAGAAGUUAACGAAAAAAAUGUAAAACAUGUACUUUGUGAUAAUAAUAUAUCGAUAUCUGCAAAAAACGUUAAAGAAGAAAUUUUACAAGUACAACGUAACCACUUCCGAGUAAUAGAAGAGCUUAAUUUAUCACUGGAAACUUUUAUUAUGCCUCCUAACCUGACCCCUAACAACAUAGAGGAAACUGCAGAAAGUAUUGUGCACUGUGGAGGUGCUGAAAGCGAUUUGUCGUCGACUGUCGAAACCUCAAAUAAAUUAUUAAAUCCGAAACGUUGUAAAUCUGGUUUGAUAGGAGGACCUUUAUCUUCCUUAUCCAUAUCAGAUCAUCGCAGAAAAAUUUCAAGUACAAGCCUUGAAGAUAUUGUAGAGACUUUUCAAUCUAUGGACGUAAAAGAUAAUUCUCAAAAUUCUUCUAAUAAUGUAGAAUUCGAUGAAGAAGAUUUGGACAGUGGAUUUAGUGGUAGUGUUAUUAGUAGCGGGGCUAGCUACAAUGAAAGCUUGCGGUACAAUAAAAGUAGAGGUGCGCCGCAGACACGCAGCAAUGCCUUUUCUAAAAGCUCGUGUUGUUCAUCCCCACCUUCGAAUGAGUUUUCCAUAAAAAAUAAUGUGACAUCUCAACAAUCUACCUCUGUAACAAAUAAACGAUUUUGCGAAAAUUUUCUCCCAAGGAAAAAAGGGCAUGAAAUAACUCCAUUUAAUAGUUCCCAUCGUUAUUCGGAUAUGCAUCAUUUAUAUAUUCGUUCAACACCAGAAGCACUUUCAACUGGUUCUAAAUCUGGAAGUAGCUUUUAAACUGAAAAUUUGUGAAGUUGUUCGUCAGAAUAUUUCCCAGCACCUUUCAAUUAAGGAAGUCGUAUAACGAGUAUUGCAGGUUAACUGAAGGACGAGGGUUAGUUUGAGAGCAUCUUAUUAUUAUCUAGGAAAAUGUUAGACUUUGAGUAAACUAUUCGAUGGAGCUGUGCACAGAAUCAAGAGCCCGCCAUCACCGUAUCAUCAAGCAACAAACAAAUGAUAAUAUACAUACAUAAUUUUUAGAGUAAAAUAAAGUAAUAUUUUUGCUGUGUGUAAAAUUUGUUGGAUGCUGCUUUAAAAAUUUCAGUGAAACUAUAGGGGCUAUGGGGUAACCAUGUUACUAUGAUUGUUCCAUUCCCGCGACAGGCGGGUUGUUAUUGUAUUUAUCAUAACGGUGUUCAGGUUUUCUGUGAACCUUCUAGGGUCGAAUAACACUCCUAUGAAUUAAUUUUAGUCUUUUCGUAACUAAUAAUAAAUAGUUUUCUGUGACUUGAGCGCACAAAGGAAAAUUAUUACUUUUUAACGCACUAUGUAUUUGUAUAUCACAUUUGUAAUAUAUAUUUAAAUACUUUUACUGUUUAUAAUUUUAUGAAGAAUUAAAUACUCCGCAAUACGCACUUACAAUACCAA